rnacentral:rRNA from 1 species
UGGGGAAUAUUGCACAAUGGGCGCAAGCCUGAUGCAGCCAUGCCGCGUGUGUGAAGAAGGCCUUCGGGUUGUAAAGCACUUUCAGCGGGGAGGAAGGCGUUAAGGUUAAUAACCUUGGCAAUUGACGUUACCGACAGAAGAAGCACCGGCUAACUCCGUGCCAGCAGCCGCGGUAAUACGGAGGGUACAAGCGUUAAUCGGAAUUACUGGGCGUAAAGCGCACGCAGGCGGUUGAUUGAGUCAGAUGUGAAAUCCCCGGGCUUAACCCGGGAAUUGCAUCUGAUACUGGUCAGCUAGAGUCUUGUAGAGGGGGGUAGAAUUCCAUGUGUAGCGGUGAAAUGCGUAGAGAUGUGGAGGAAUACCGGUGGCGAAGGCGGCCCCCUGGACAAAGACUGACGCUCAGGUGCGAAAGCGUGGGGAGCAAACAGG